rnacentral:misc_RNA from 1 species
GUUCAUAGGGCUUUUAACAAGGACAAGGCUGAGCGCUCUGUGUUGUCGUCCUCCUCAUCCUCAUCUUCUCUUAAAGAGAGAGGUAGUAACAGGUUCAGAAAAUUAUAAGAGCAUGUAAGAUAUGUCUCUAAUAAGCCUUGUGACUGUGCAUCAGGUUUUGGGAAAGAUUUCUGGCAGUCUUAAAAAGUUUUUGGCUCUGCUUGUAUAAUUGUAG